AUGUAUGUACAAAGUACCUACUGCAGGCAACCUCAUUUCUCUUUGCAGAGAGAGAACCAUGAAGCAAAGCUGAACAGAUCCAUUUGUCUGGAGUCUCAAGGGACAGGAGAUGAAAAAUUUCUAGAGCCAUUCCUUUUCCCAGGCCCUAGUCCAGUGCUGCAAGAACAAGCCCUUCCUUCGACUUCCUGGAGUUGGUGUCCCCUGACACCCUCAGCUCCUCCAGAGACCAAGCUGCACCCUGCAGAUGUCUCCUCACAGACAGCCCAGCUCACUCCUGAGUCAUGGCUGGUGCUGAGCAGGAGCCCCCAGGAUUCUGAGGUGAUUUCACAGCCCAGCACAGAUUGUCUCGCUCUCCUCUCCCCCCACCGAUUCCAACCAACUGCACGAGCCCUCGUCACACUGGAAACCAGAUUCCCACUGGCUGCUGUCUGCUUUCCUUAAUGUUUGGCUGCCACCACUCAAAAUGCAGUAUUAGUAGUAUUCUACCCUUAAAAGUAGGACUGGGUCUCAGGGCUGACAGCUCCCAAUGCUCCUGUACCUUUUGCUAGGCCAGGGGCAUUUGCAGGAGCCCAAGGAGCAGCAGCAGGUCAAGGACUACCCUGAUGCAUGACAAUACAAGAACCUGGAUGGACAGAGAAGGAGGAUCCAUGAAAUAUAGGUGGUUUAAAGAAGUCUGCAGAUGUGCAGGACAGGACUAAAAGCAUGAUCAAGAGCAGGUGAUAAAACAUCCUGCAAAUUCUACCUUGGAUACAAAAAGGUGACUCGGAUACAUUGUGACUCAAUUCUGCCUUUUUUUUUAACCGUGGAAUGCACUUCUGAGACCUCAAGGCCAGAUCCAUGCCAAAUUUCAAGUUCCUAUGUCAAAUCCCUGAGGCACAGAGCUGCUCAGAAAAAGAAAGAUAAUAUGGCUUUUACAUGGAGAUUGCCUCCUCACUCUGUUAAUUUUACUCUAGAACCAGCUAAUGUUCCCCCGAAACUCAAUGAACAGGGAAUAAAAGCAGCCUCAAGACAGAAACA
rnacentral:lncRNA from 1 species